rnacentral:rRNA from 1 species
AGGGUUUGAUUAUGGCUCAGGACGAACGCUGGCGGCGUGCUUAACACAUGCAAGUCGAACGAGAGGACAUGAAAAGCUUGCUUUUUAUGGAAUCGAGUGGCAAACGGGUGAGUAACGCGUAAGCAACCUGCCCUGCAGAUGGGGACAACAGCUGGAAACGGCUGCUAAUACCGAAUACGAAGCAGCUCCCGCAUGGGGGCAGCUUGAAAGGAUGGCCUCUGAAUAUGCUAUCGCUGCAGGAGGGGCUUGCGUCUGAUUAGCUGGUUGGAGGGGUAACGGCCCACCAAGGCGACGAUCAGUAGCCGGUCUGAGAGGAUGAACGGCCACAUUGGGACUGAGACACGGCCCAG